rnacentral:rRNA from 1 species
GCCGCUAUACAUGCAGUCGUACGCUUCUUUUUCCACCGGAGCUUGCUCCACCGGAAAAAGAAGAGUGGCGAACGGGUGAGUAACACGUGGGUAACCUGCCCAUCAGAAGGGGAUAACACUUGGAAACAGGUGCUAAUACCGUAUAACAAUCGAAACCGCAUGGUUUUGAUUUGAAAGGCGCUUUCGGGUGUCGCUGAUGGAUGGACCCGCGGUGCAUUAGCUAGUUGGUGAGGUAACGGCUCACCAAGGCCACGAUGCAUAGCCGACCUGAGAGGGUGAUCGGCCACAUUGGGACUGAGACACGGCCCAAACUCCUACGGGAGGCAGCAGUAGGGAAUCUUCGGCAAUGGACGAAAGUCUGACCGAGCAACGCCGCGUGAGUGAAGAAGGUUUUCGGAUCGUAAAACUCUGUUGUUAGAGAAGAACAAGGAUGAGAGUAACUGUUCAUCCCUUGACGGUAUCUAACCAGAAAGCCACGGCUAACUACGUGCCAGCAGCCGCGGUAAUACGUAGGUGGCAAGCGUUGUCCGGAUUUAUUGGGCGUAAAGCGAGCGCAGGCGGUUUCUUAAGUCUGAUGUGAAAGCCCCCGGCUCAACCGGGGAGGGUCAUUGGAAACUGGGAGACUUGAGUGCAGAAGAGGAGAGUGGAAUUCCAUGUGUAGCGGUGAAAUGCGUAGAUAUAUGGAGGAACACCAGUGGCGAAGGCGGCUCUCUGGUCUGUAACUGACGCUGAGGCUCGAAAGCGUGGGGAGCAAACAGGAUUAGAUACCCUGGUAGUCCACGCCGUAAACGAUGAGUGCUAAGUGUUGGAGGGUUUCCGCCCUUCAGUGCUGCAGCUAACGCAUUAAGCACUCCGCCUGGGGAGUACGACCGCAAGGUUGAAACUCAAGGAAUUGACGGGGGCCCGCACAAGCGGUGGAGCAUGUGGUUUAAUUCGAAGCAACGCGAAGAACCUUACCAGUCUUGACAUCCUUUGACACUCUAGAGAUAGAGCUUCCCUUCGGGGCAAGUGACAG